UCCAGUUUCGAGGACGAAACUUUUUCUAAGGGGGUAAGGAUGUAAUACCCCGAAAUUUUUAAACAUGAUUUUAUUAAAAUUAAAAAUAUUUAUUAGCUUGAUUUUGUUUUAAAUAAUUACGAAUAAUCGAAUUUCGUUAUUUUAAUCGUUUUUACGAUUUAUUUUAAACGAUAAAUUUAUAAACGAAGAUUUAUUUAUUUUUCGUUAACGAUAAAUUUUAUAAAGAAUUAUUUUAAUUAAACAUUUCUAUUUUUAGUAAGUUUCAAAAAUAGCAACAAUUUCUGAAAUUUUGGCCAAAUAAUGUGAAAUUACGAAAUUGCCCUUAAAAGAGCCAAAAUCAUCUUCUUUUUUUUUCUUUUUCUGCUUGCUUUCCACGCACAAAUGAGUGAAGAAAUUUUCUUCCUUCUCCUCUUCCCUUGCUCGCCACGUACAAAGCAAAAGGAAACAUUUUCCUUCAUUCCUCUCUUUCCCACAAUUCAGUCCAUGUUCAUUCCUUCCCAUUUACUCUACAUGGAUACAAAUUCAGUUUCUAUUUCCUAAUUGAAAUUCAAUAUCACAAAUCAAAACAACAACCAAUUUCACUCCCCUUUUGAUUUCUCUGAUUCGGACCAACGACCACCACCAUAACCACCAUUGUCCGCCACCUCAACCACCGUUAAACACCGCAACAACGACCCAGAACCGUCCCAAUCACCGUCGGCCACCACCGCACACUCAUAUCGUCUCCCCUGCCUCUCCCUUUUCUCUUCGCUGCACCACCAACACCGACACCACGCCACCACACCACAAACACAUUACCACCUCCUAAACCCAACUCCAUCCUCAAUCUCCGGCGAUACGCCGCCCAGAACCACCGCAAAACCCCACCCCCAAACUCCCCUGUUCUCUCGCCUCCUUCGCACUUCCCCUCCCUUUCUUUCGUCGUCCUACUGCCGCAGACCAGCCACCACCACCUUCGCCUUCACCGGAGAUUUCUGGCGCCACCAAACCUAGCCCCAUCUCCCCUCCUAUUCGUGCUCUGCUCCGCCGUACACCGCCUCCUUUCUCUUCGACUCCCCUGUUCUCCCUCCCCUGUUCGCACACCCCUCCUUUUCUUCCUCUUAUCCGCGAGCCACAGCCACGCGGUCAGAACCGCCCAGCCACGCUGGAGUUUCCCCGUCGCCGACAACCGAGCCCAGCCACCCCAACUCCCUUCCUCCUCCGUGCCUUCCCUGUUUCACGCCCCUCCCCUGUUUCUAUUUCCCUUCCCAGAAAACCGAGAAUCAUGUUUCUAAGUGAAACAUUGAUUCUUAUUCACCUCAAAGUCUCAAACUCGUAUUUGAGUUGGGCUAUUUUACUUUGGGCCUUUGAAAUUGGACUCGGAGCUCAGGACGAACGAACCAGCGAAAAUCCUUAGCCAAAAUCGUGGAAGUGAGGUACUGCUGGGAACGAUGGAAACGAGUAGUGGCGAGGAUUUCACUUUAAUAAUAUUCACCUAGUUACGCUUAACGUUUUAAUAGUUUAAUUAAAGACUCGUAGUAAGUUAUGUACUUUUACCUUGGGAAUACAAAUCAAGUAUUAUGUUAAUUUUGGAGUUUAAAUAGCUUAUGAUUGAUGGUUGCCUUGUAAUUCCCAAGAGGGAGUUACGGCAGGUAAUGUCCCGACCGAAUUAGGUUAAUUCCGCUGCUAAUUAUGCUUUAUUAAAUAAAUUAGAGGUUGGGGUGUUACAUCUUGGUUGUAAUUUGCUCAAGAUACAACUGAUUGUACGAAUGUAAAUCAAAAGUUGUCUUAAAGAUUACUCCGUAUUACGUAUCGUUUUCAACUGCAUUUUGCAGACCUCCAAACAUUGUAUUCGGUAGUUCCUUAACUCAAUUAUAAACAAAAAAAAUAAUAAUUACCAAUCGUGCCACAUAUUAUGUAGCAACAAUAGGUCACCAAAUUGAUACUCAUCAAGAUAUGGACCAUUGCAUAGAUGUUAAAUUACUAAGUUAUCUCAUUUUCUUUUUAUAAUUUUGGGAUAAAACAAUAAAAAAAAAAUCAUGCUUUAAAAAAAAUUUACUCCAUCCGUUCCAGAAUAGUCGUUACACUUACCUUUGCACAAAGUUUUAGGUGAUAAGUGAUUGUUUGGUUAUCAA